rnacentral:rRNA from 1 species
GCGCCGACGUGCCGCCCUUCGCUGCCGGCGACGUCGCGAGAAGUCCACUGAACCUUAUCAUUUAGAGGAAGGAGAAGUCGUAACAAGGUUUCCGUAGGUGAACCUGCGGAAGGAUCAUUG